GAGCAUUCUUGUUUCUUUGCACUCCAAAAUUGAUGAGGCUGAUACUCGGAUGAUAUUGCUAAAGAAUGAAAUUGAAGAACAUGCAGCUAAAUGCUCUGCAAAAUCUGAGAAAAUGAGAGAGGAGUUUACAAAGGAAGAACAUCAGUUGAUUAUGGU